ensembl:lncRNA MYHAS myosin heavy chain gene cluster antisense RNA
GUUGGAGUAUUGGGAGGCCGAGGCAGGCGGAUCAUGAGAUAUUUUGUGCUGUUUUAGACUGCUCUUUCUUCCAUUAAAUGAGAGAUUAGAUCUGAAUGGCCACGUGAUCUUCUGAGUCCCAUCUGUAAGAAUCUGCAUUUCCACGGAAUUGGGGGAGCAAACGUUCUCAAAACAUUCUUAAAUGCAAACCCGCAGGCACAGCAUGUGUCUGUCAACUCCAAGAGCAUUUGGAUGUUCGAAGGGAGAGGAUGUUUGACAUCUAACCCGUCGUGGAAAGAGGAGCCUCUUAAGGAACCGGAAACCUGGAGAGUGAGAUGCCAAAGAUUAUGAAAGAAACUGGAAGGAAAGUGAAGACUGGAACAGAGAUUUUCUCAUUCCUGCUUGAGUGUUCUUCCAAUGACUGUGUGUGUGUAGCUUUGAAAAUACAAAGUAUUGGGAAUAGGAACUGUGAUACAAACAAAGACAGUGACAUGAAGGCAAUGGAUUCUCAGCAUUACAAGGCAAGACAGAACUUGAAGGAAGAAGGCUGGGAGGAAACCAAUGUUGAAUGAACACUGACUCUGUGC